rnacentral:rRNA from 1 species
AUUGAACGCUGGCGGCAGGCCUAACACAUGCAAGUCGAACGGUAACAGGAAGAAGCUUGCUUCUUUGCUGACGAGUGGCGGACGGGUGAGUAAUGUCGGGGAAACUGCCUGAUGGCGGGGGAUAACUACUGGAAACGGUAGCUAAUACCGCAUAACGUCGCAAGACCAAAGAGGGGGACCUUCGGGCCUCUUGCCAUCGGCUUUGCCCAGAUGGGAUUAGCUAGUAGGUGGGGUAACGGCUCACCUAGGCGACGAUCCCUAGCUGGUCUGAGAGGAUGACCAGCCACACUGGAACUGAGACACGGUCCAGACUCCUACGGGAGGCAGCAGUGGGGAAUAUUGCACAAUGGGCGCAAGCCUGAUGCAGCCAUGCCGCGUGUAUGAAGAAGGCCUUCGGGUUGUAAAGUACUUUCAGCGGGGAGGAAGGGAGUAAAGUUAAUACCUUUGCUCAUUGACGUUACCCGCAGAAGAAGCACCGGCUAACUCCGUG